rnacentral:rRNA from 1 species
AAGACAUGCAAGUCGAACGGGAUAUUCUAGUAGCAAUACCGGGAAUAAUUUAGUGGCGAACGGGUGCGUAACACGUGGGCAAUCUGCCGAAAAGUGGGGGAUAGCUCGCCGAAAGGCGAAUUAAUACCGCAUGUGGUGAUAGAAGACAUCUUCUUGAAUCCAAAGCCGGGGCAACCUGGCGCUUUUUGAGGAGCCCGCGGCCUAUCAGCUAGUUGGUGAGGUAACGGCUCACCAAGGCUAUGACGGGUAGCUGGUCUGAGAGGACGACCAGUCACACUGGAACUGAGACACGGUCCAGACACCUACGGGUGGCAGCAGUCGAGAAUUUUUCUCAAUGGGGGAAACCCUGAAGGAGCGACGCCGCGUGGAGGAUGAAGGCUUUCGGGUUGUAAACUCCUGUCAUUUGGGAACAAGGCAUUAGUUACUGUUUUGAUGUUGAUAGUACCAGAAGAGGAAGGGACGGC